rnacentral:rRNA from 1 species
GUGGGGAAUUUUGGACAAUGGGCGCAAGCCUGAUCCAGCAAUGCCGCGUGCAGGAAGAAGGCCUUCGGGUUGUAAACUGCUUUUGUGCGGAACGAAAAGGCUCUGGUUAAUACCUGGGGCUCAUGACGGUACCGUAAGAAUAAGCACCGGCUAACUACGUGCCAGCAGCCGCGGUAAUACGUAGGGUGCAAGCGUUAAUCGGAAUUACUGGGCGUAAAGCGUGCGCAGGCGGUUUUGUAAGACAGACGUGAAAUCCCCGGGCUCAACCUGGGAAUGGCGUUUGUGACUGCGAAGCUGGAGUGCGGCAGAGGGGGAUGGAAUUCCGCGUGUAGCAGUGAAAUGCGUAGAUAUGCGGAGGAACACCGAUGGCGAAGGCAAUCCCCUGGGCCUGCACUGACGCUCAUGCACGAAAGCGUGGGGAGCAAACAGGAUUAGAUACCCUUGUAGUCC